rnacentral:lncRNA from 1 species
CUAAAAGGAAGUUAGGAGUUGUUAAAACACGCAUUUUACUAGGUUGAUUUAGUACGACUGAGAUAACCUGAAUGGUUGUAAAAAUUCUACGUAUUUUAGCAGAUAAUGUUAUAUGGAUAAGUCCAAAUAGAAAAGUAUGAUAAUUUCCACUUUGGAUGUACCACCAAACAUCUUGGGAAUAAGAGCUUUUGUUUUAGCUGGUUGUGAAGGUUGAUGUCAUGUCCUUUGGUUUCAGGUAGCAGAGUGCAGAAGUGACUGACUGAACUUGACUUCCUGCUCCGAACAAAGGGACAGUGUGCUCGCUGGGAUUGUACUUGUGUCUCUGCUGUCAUGCUUCUCUGAGAGGAUCAGCAGAAUCUCCAGGAACCUGUGUCAGCUUGCUAGUUGGUACUCCAGGAUGAGCAAGAUUUAUUUAUUUUGAUGCCUACUAGUGAGUGACUAUUAAAUCAGGGAAGGUAAGAAAUAAACA